UACAGAGGGUGCAAGCGUUGUUCGGAUUUACUGGGCGUAAAGCGCGUGUAGGCGGUGACAUAAGUCGGAUGUGAAAUCCCUCGGCUCAACCGAGGACGUGCACCCGAUACUGUGCCACUUGAGUACCGGAGGGGAUGGCGGAAUUCCUGGUGUAGAGGUGAAAUUCGUGAGAUAUCAGGAGGAACACCUGUCGGCGAAGGCGGCCAUCUGGACGGUAACGUGACGCUGAGACGGCGAAAGCGUGGGUAGCAAACAGGA
rnacentral:rRNA from 1 species